rnacentral:rRNA from 1 species
UGGGGAAUAUUGCACAAUGGGCGCAAGCCUGAUGCAGCCAUGCCGCGUGUAUGCAGAAGGCCUUCGGGUUGUAAAGUACUUUCAGCGAGGAGGAAGGCGUUGUGGUUAAUAACCGCAGCGAUUGACGUUACUCGCAGAAGAAGCACCGGCUAACUCCGUGCCAGCAGCCGCGGUAAUACGGAGGGUGCAAGCGUUAAUCGGAAUUACUGGGUGUAAAGCGCACGCAGGCGGUCUGUCAAGUCGGAUGUGAAAUCCCCGGGCUCAACCUGGGAACUGCAUCCGAAACUGGCAGGCUAGAGUCUUGUAGAGGGGGGUAGAAUUCCAGGUGUAGCGGUGAAAUGCGUAGAGAUCUGGAGGAAUACCGGUGGCGAAGGCGGCCCCCUGGACAAAGACUGACGCUCAGGUGCGAAAGCGUGGGGAGCAAACA